UCUCUGGUCACCUUAACAGACAAACCUAAGUAAUUCUUGCCUCACCAAAUUCACAUAAUUACUUCUGUUUAUCAUAUGUGUAGGUAGAUAAAAAAAACCAUUUUCUGGUUUUUAGAUUUUUUGGAGUUGCUUAUCUAUUAACCUUCUGGAGUCGGUCAUUUUGGUCUGCGACCAUAUAACAAUUUAUGGCUUCUUCUUUUCUUUCUUACCCCUCAUUGUCUUCCUUUGUGCUCAAAUUAAUUGUCAGAAAAGAAUGGUGUCGGUUUCAG
rnacentral:misc_RNA from 1 species